rnacentral:tRNA from 1 species
AUGGAAAUCUCUGUAAUUUUUCGAUAGUAUAGGGGCGGAUGUAGCCAAGUGGAUCAAGGCAGUGGAUUGUGAAUCCACCA